CAUUUUUGGUGAAGCUCCUGUCGUUGGAUUUCGCCAAUUUCGCUGUCCAUUUUGCUCCAGCCUGUUGUUAGAUUUUCGCUGUGCAAGUGGUUUACUGGCACGUACUCAAUAUGGGAUGUACAUGGCGAAUCCUUCCAUGCCAGCCAAUCAUUGGGACAUUUUGUUGGUGAGCAGAACGAACUAGUUAAUGAAGUUAAAGUAGGAAAUCCACAUGCUGAAAUGGCUAUGAAUACUUUACAAUCGGAGUUUUAGUUCAAUGAUGAGACCCCGAGAUGAACCAGUUAUUUUUGAAGAUCCAAGUCCGAAUGUUUUAUCUUUCUUCUCGUUGUUAAAUAAUGUUGAUGUAGCUUUAUGGGUCGUAUGUGAUAAGCACACAAAAUUGUUAGCUAUGUCCCAAUUACUGCAUGUGAACUCAAUAGUUAACAUGAAUGAUGCAUGCUUUAAUAGUCUGAUGCAUCUACUGAAGGAGAUGUUGCCAUCCGAUGAAUCAUUAUCGAAAAACUUUUAUAGAAUGAAGACACAAUUAAAGGAACUUGGGCUCUGUUAUCAGAAAAUUCAUGUAUGUAAGAAUAAUUGUGUGUUGUUUUAUAA